rnacentral:rRNA from 1 species
UACAGAGACUGCAAGCGUUAUUCGGAUUCACUGGGCGUAAAGGGUGCGCAGGCGGCCAAGUGUGUGAGGCGUUGAAAGCCCGGGGCUUAACCCCGGAAUUGCACCUCAAACUACAUGGCUAGAGCAUUGGAGAGGGUAGCGGAAUUCACGGUGUAGCAGUGAAAUGCGUAGAUAUCGUGAGGAACACCAGAGGCGAAGGCGGCUACCUGGACAAUUGCUGACGCUCAGGCACGAAAGCGUGGGGAGCAAAAGGG